CAUUAGGUGGCUGAAAAUUAAAGCAAUGGAAUUUUAAACCAUACUACAGUAAUUAAUGACUACUUCUAAUG
rnacentral:tRNA from 1 species